AGAAAAAGAAAGAAAAAAAGAAGCCUUACCACCCUCCAAGUUCAAUGACCAAGACAGGCACGCAGACUUUGAGAGACCCAGAUGGGACAUGGAGUCAGCUGGAACUUGAGAACCGAGGCCAGAAGUGACGAAGAACGUGGCCUUGAUGUUCUGGAGAUGGCUGGUGGUGGAGGGUGCACAGCAACGUGAGUGUGUGUGAUACCACGGGACGGUCCACUUAGAAAUGGUUAAAAAUUAUUAUGUACCUUUGGGACGCCAAUCUCACUUCAUAAGAAAACCCAAGAUGACAGAUGAAAACAUGGGAAAGUGAGGAUGGGUGCGCAGAGGGCACCUCCCUGGAAAAAACACACAUGCAAACCAACAAGAAUCAGCACAAGAGCGUACCGAGGAAAACAACAGGCCAUCAAUGUUUCUUGAAGAAACACUUCUCCUUUGCUUGCCUGGGGGACUCUUCAAAGCCCUUUGCCCUUUGCCCUCCAAAAGAUAAAUACAAAUAAAGCAAAAUGUGCACCAGGUGGCAAGAACUGCCUGAAACAAGUCUGGUCAUCUAAACUCAAGGCUAAUAAAAUGUUAACAGUUCAGGAGUAUCUACUGAAAAAGUAAAUUAAUGUUGUCUCCGCUGUUAACUUCCGUCAGAAUCUCAAAUGGCGUGGGUAUAUAAUAACUCUACACUGUCCACUUGGAAUGUGCUAGAUGGGCACAGAGAUACUGCUAACACUGCUCUUGACAUCUAUUCUGAUGCUGAGGGAAGCAUUCAAAAGGAAAGAAAAAGUUUACAACAUUAUUUGGCUUUUCACAGUCAAAAAACAUAGGGCAGUGAUGCUGAAGACAAUAAUGGUCAGAAACAGAUGCUAAAAAUGUUCUAUGUGGACACUGACGUCCUGAGAGCCUGGAAAGAAUGAUUUCUCAGCUUCACAAGGCUGAAUGUAUCCUUUAGAAAUUAAUGUGCGCCCUUCUCCAUUCAGCUGUCGGGAAAUUAGAAACAUAGACAAGCUUUCCGAACUGUAAAGUGGUUAGGGAAGAGGAAUUCUUGAUAACUGUAUAUCCCAAAUUCACUUAGCAGGAUUUUUCAAACACAACUCACUAAUUUCUUUCUUUCUUUCCUUUUUCAAAGAUUUCAUUUAUUUGAGAGAGAGAGAGAGAGAGAGAGCAUACAUGUGUGUAAGUGGGGGGAAGAGGCAAAGGGAG